rnacentral:rRNA from 1 species
AUACGAAGGGUGCAAGCGUUACUCGGAAUUACGUGGGCGUAAAGCGUGCGUAGGUGGUUGUUUAAGUCUGUCGUGAAAGCCCUGGGCUCAACCUGGGAAUUGCGAUGGAAACUGGGCGACUAGAGUGUGGCAGAGGGUAGUGGAAUUCCUGGUGUAGCAGUGAAAUGCGUAGAGAUCAGGAGGAACAUCCGUGGCGAAGGCGACUGCCUGGGCCAACACUGACACUGAGGCACGAAAGCGUGGGGAGC